rnacentral:rRNA from 1 species
UACAGAGGGUGCAAGCGUUGUUCGGAAUUACUGGGCGUAAAGGGCGCGUAGGCGGCCCGCUAAGUCGAACGUGAAAUCCCCGAGCUCAACUCGGGAACUGCGUCCGAUACUGGUGGGCUUGAAUCCGGGAGAGGGAUGCGGAAUUCCAGGUGUAGCGGUGAAAUGCGUAGAUAUCUGGAGGAACACCGGUGGCGAAGGCGGCAUCCUGGACCGGCAUUGACGCUGAGGCGCGAAAGCUAGGGGAGCAAACGGG